rnacentral:rRNA from 1 species
GAUAAUUUAAAACAAACGAUAAUAAGUACAUCUCCUAGAUGAACCUCUACGGGAGUUCACAUGACUGCUCCUAGAUGAACUCAUCUGCAGAUGAUCACCGCAAUUUUGCAGAAACAAACUCUGACAGAAAAGUACAAUAUGACCCUCGUGGGGUUACUACAUGGCAGAGGCACUACAACUCUGCCCGCCGACGAACUGCAAAUGGCCUGGCAAACGAAUUGGGGUUGCCAACCUGAAACUUAAUUGCACCGAGACGUAGAUUGCCGAGAACACAAAUAAUCUAGCUGCUCGUCCAGGUGCGCCAAACUGCAAGCGCACUGCAAAUAAAAGGAAUGAGAACCGCAACCUUUUGAAGAAGUUUGUCCAAGAAGAGAUGUAGCUACUCAUGGUUACCGCAGCCCACUCCCAACCGCGCUGCUACUCGAGGUUGUUGUGGCGCGUGGGAGGGUCACCGAACUGCACGCCGUCGUAUGCCCUACUGCAUGCUGUCGUCGGUCGCACUGCACGCCGACGUUGGCCGUACUGGACGCCCGUAGGUGCCACACAUCUUGCCAUUCGGGGCACGGCGAUGCACGACACACAACCACAGGCAACUAAAUCAGUGAGCAGGGAAUGGGCGAUGCAGCUCGGCAGUGUCGGAGUCACACCUCGAGAAUGGGCGGAUCUGGCCAGGGGAGAGGGGAGGCCAGGGAGAUGUCGGACCGGGGAGGCCAGGGAGAUGUCGGACCUCCAGCCCACCGAUGCUGCACGUGAGGGUGCCCGCACGCCGGGGCGGGGGCUGAGCUGCAUGCCGGGUCGAGCUGCACUGCACACCACAGUCGCCCGCACUGCAUGCUGUGCAGUUCAGAGAAAGGUAGAGGGGAGUCCGGUGGGGAACCCAGGGGUGCGACGUAGGCAGUGGCGGCCCGGUCCACCCGUGGUGUAGAGCGGAGGUGGUGGCGGCGAGGGCUGGGAUCCGGGGUGGCUUGUCCGCGCCGGAGGAGGGGGCGCCCAGGCCUCGCCGGAGAGGAGGAAGAGAGCCGGUUGAUCUCCUCCCUCGGGCCUAGUUGGAUCCGCAACGGCGCGGGGCGGCCGGCAGCGUGGCAAUUCUGGGCGGCCGGUGGAAUGUGGUGGGGCGGCGGGGAAGGUAGGCGAUGCGGGGAGGCGGUGCGGCGGCGAGGAAGGGAGGCGGCACGCGGCGCGCGGCGGGAGGCGGGGCGACGAU